rnacentral:rRNA from 1 species
UACAGAGGGGGCAAGCGUUGUUCGGAAUUACUGGGCGUAAAGGGCGCGUAGGCGGCCGGCUAAGUCGAACGUGAAAUCCCCGGGCUCAACCCGGGAACUGCGUCCGAUACUGGCAGGCUUGAAUCCGGGAGAGGGAUGCGGAAUUCCAGGUGUAGCGGUGAAAUGCGUAGAUAUCUGGAGGAACACCGGUGGCGAAGGCGGCAUCCUGGACCGGUAUUGACGCUGAGGCGCGAAAGCCAGGGGAGCAAACGGG